rnacentral:misc_RNA from 1 species
AACUUUCGGCAAUGGAGCACUUGGUUCUGGCAUCGAUGAAGAACGCAGCGAAAUGCGAGAAGUAAUGUGAAUUGCAGAAUUCAGGGAAUCAUCGAAUCUUUGAACGCACAUUGCGCCCCUUGGUAUUCCGAGGGGCAUGCCUGUUCGAGCGUCAGUAUAACCCCUCGAGCUCAGCUUGGUGUUGGGGCCUGCCGCACGGGCAGCCCUUAAAAUCAGUGGCGGUGCCAUCUGGCUCUAAGCGUAGUAAUUCUUCUCGCUAUAGAGUCCCGGUGGAUGCUUGCCAUCAACCCCCAAUUUUCUAUGGUUGACCUCGGAUCAGGUAGGGAUACCCGCUGAACUUAAGCAUAUCAAUAAGCGGAGGCU